rnacentral:rRNA from 1 species
GACGAACGCUGGCGGCGUGCUUAACACAUGCAAGUCGAACGGAAAGGCUCCUGCUUGCAGGGGUACUCGAGUGGCGAACGGGUGAGUAACACGUGGGUGAUCUGCCUUGUACUCUGGGAUAAGCUUGGGAAACUGGGUCUAAUACCGGAUAAUAACUGCCUUUGGUGUGGGGGUUGGAAAGUUUUUUCGGUGCAGGAUGAGAUCGCGGCCUAUCACCUUGUUUUUGGGGUAAUGGCCUACCAAGGCGUUGACGGGUAGCCGGCCUGAGAGGGUGUACGGGCACAUUGGGACUGAGGUACGGCCCAGGCUCCUACGGGAGGCAGCAGUGGGGAAUAUUGCACAAUGGGCGGAAGGCUGAUGCAGGGACGCCGCGUGGGGGAUGACGGCCUUCGGGUUGUAAACUCCUUUCGACAGGGAAGAAGCUGUUUGUGACGGUACCUGUAUAAGAAGCACCGGCUAACUACGUG